GCCAAGUGCAGUGGUGCGUGCCUGUAGUCCCAGGUAGCUGGAAGGCUGAGGCAGGAGGAUAGCUUAAGCCCAGGAGUUCUGGGCUGCAGUGCACUGUGCCAAUCAGGUGUCCACACUAAGUCUGACAUCAGUAUGGUGACCUCCCUGGAGCAGGGGACAACCAGGUUGCCUAAGGAGGGGUGAACCAGCCCAGGUCAGAAAUGGAUCAGGUCAAAACUCCUGUGCUGAUCAGUAAUGGGAUCAUGCCUGUGAAUAGCCACUGACUGCACUCCAGCCUGGGCAACAUAACGAGAUCCUGUCCCUA
rfam:Pan troglodytes isolate Yerkes chimp pedigree #C0471 (Clint) chromosome 1, whole genome shotgun sequence.